CAACUCUGUUCUGCAGAGUAACUGUUAACAUUAUAGUUGCACAGGAACUUUGUUGACUCUAGAGAACCUUGGGCAAAUCGCACAUCCCCGUGGCGGCGACUUUGCAUGAGGAUGUCAUCCAUAUCAACUUUCGAUGCCAGUUUCUGUGCCUACCAUGGUGACCACGGGUAACGGGGAAUCAGGAUUCCAUUCCAUACUGGGACCCUGAGAAAUGGCUACCAUAUGCAAGGAAGGCAGCAGGCGCGCAAAUGACCCACUCCCGACGUGGGAAGGUAGUGA